UGGGGAAUUUUUCGCAAUGGGCGAAAGCCUGACGAAGCAACGCCGCGUGGAGGAUGAAGGCCUUCGGGUUGUAAACUCCUGUCGACCGGGACGAAAGCGGCCUGGGUCAAUACCCCGGGUCGUUGACUGUACCGGUGGAGGAAGCCACGGCUAACUCUGUGCCAGCAGCCGCGGUAAUACAGAGGUGGCAAGCGUUGUUCGGAAUUACUGGGCGUAAAGGGCGCGUAGGCGGUCUUGUAAGUCCUGUGUGAAAUCCCCCGGCUCAACUGGGGAACUGCACAGGAAACUGCGAGGCUUGAGUUCGGGAGAGGGAAGCGGAAUUCCGGGUGUAGCGGUGAAAUGCGUAGAUAUCCGGAGGAACACCGGUGGCGAAGGCGGCUUCCUGGACCGACACUGACGCUGAGGCGCGAAAGCUAGGGGAGCAAACG
rnacentral:rRNA from 1 species